rnacentral:rRNA from 1 species
AACGCGAAGAACCUUACCCAGACUUGACAUGCAGUAGACAGGUCCAGAGAUGGACUGUUCCUUCGGGACUGCUGCACAGGUGCUGCAUGGCUGUCGUCAGCUCGUGCCGUGAGGUGUUGGGUUAAGUCCCGCAACGAGCGCAACCCUUAUCAUUAGUUGCCAACAUUUAAGGUGGGAACUCUAAUGAGACUGCCUGGGUUAACCAGGAGGAAGGUGAGGAUGACGUCAAGUCCGCAUGGCCCUUAUGUCUGGGGCUACACACGUGCUACAAUGGUCGGUACAGAAGGCAGCGAAGCCGCGAGGCGAAGCAAAUCCCGAAAACCGGCCUCAGUUCAGAUUGUAGUCUGCAACUCGACUACAUGAAGAUGGAAUUGCUAGUAAUGGCGAGUCAGCAACAUCGCCGUGAAUACGUUCCCGGGCCUUGUA